rnacentral:tRNA from 1 species
GUUGGGGUAGAAUAAUAGUAGUUCGUCGGGCUCAUGACCCGUUGGUGUUGGUGCAAGUCCAGCCUCCGCA